UGGUCCCUUGGAGUUCACAGUCUAAUGGGGAAGACAGGAUAUAAGCAAGUAGUUUCAGCAUAGCUUUGGAAUUGCAUGCAGAGAAGUGAGUGAAGUGAGUGAGGGCCCAGCCAAGGGUCUCACUCUGUUGCCCAGGCUGGAGUGCAGUGGCGUGAUCUAAGCUCACUGCAACCUCUGUCUCCCAGGUUUAAGCGAUUCUCCUGCCUCAGCCUCCUAAGUAGCUGGGAUUACAAGACGCCUGUCACCACACCUGGCUAAUUUUUGUAUUUUUAGUAGAGAUGGGGUUUCACCGUGUCGGCCAGGCUGGUCUUGAAUUCCUGACCUCAAGUGAUCCGCCCUCUUUGACCUCCCAAAGUGCUGGUAUUACAGGCAUGAGUCACCGCGCAGGGCCUGAAUGAGUUAUCUUAAGAAUAAUAUCACUGAAGAUACCAUACUGGUUAACAAUUACUACAUAAUAAAUUACUCCCCCAAACCAGUAGCUUAAAACCUUCAUUUCAUUUUGUUCACGGUUUUCUGGGAAUUCAGGAAGUACUCAGUCCAGGCAGCUCUCUGUUGGGUUCUCUCAUGCAGUUGCAGUCAGAUGUUGACUCUGGCUCCAGUGACAUAAGGAUCAACUGUCAUAGGUCCAGCAGUUGAGGCCCAGCUCUGCCAUAGGUCCAGCAGUUGACAUGUCUGCAGUGAGCUUGGCAGAGGCUAAUAAGCGUAUCUACACCAGCAUGGCUGUCUCAGGGUAAUCAGACUUUUUACAUGGCGGAAGACUUUCUCCAGAAAGGCUCAAGAGAAUCAGACAAGGGCUUUUUCCAGCCAGCCUCAGACAUCACACAGCAUCACUACAAGGUUCAACUGUUUCCUAUUGAGUCACUAAGAUUGGACCUCUCUAGAUGGGAGGAGUAUCAAAUAACUUGCAGAUACAUUUUUAAACUGCCAUACAUGUGCUUUUGUGUUUUUCUUCGCAAACAGCUCAGCAUGUAUUCUCUUUAGCUAAAGACCCCAGUAGUUUUUGAGUUCAUUUUGUGCUUCCAGAACCUAGCACAGGGUAUGUGU
rnacentral:lncRNA from 1 species